GAUGAACGCUGGCGGCGUGCCUAAUACAUGCAAGUCGAGCGAACAGAUGAGGAGCUUGCUCCUCUGACGUUAGCGGCGGACGGGUGAGUAACACGUGGAUAACCUACCUAUAAGACUGGGAUAACUUCGGGAAACCGGAGCUAAUACCGGAUAAUAUAUUGAACCGCAUGGUUCAAUAGUGAAAGACGGUUUUGCUGUCACUUAUAGAUGGAUCCGCGCCGCAUUAGCUAGUUGGUAAGGUAACGGCUUACCAAGGCAACGAUGCGUAGCCGACCUGAGAGGGUGAUCGGCCACACUGGAACUGAGACAAGGUCCAGACUCCUACGGGAGGCAGCAGUAGGGAAUCUUCCGCAAUGGGCGAAAGCCUGACGGAGCAACGCCGCAUGAGUGAUGAAGGUCUUCGGAUCGUAAAACUCUGUUAUUAGGGAAGAACAAAUGUGUAAGUAACUAUGCACGUCUUGACGGUACCUAAUCAGAAAGCCACGGCUAACUACGUG
rnacentral:rRNA from 1 species